UACGUAGGGUGCAAGCGUUGUCCGGAAUUAUUGGGCGUAAAGAGCGUGUAGGCGGCCCGAUUAGUCCGCUGUGAAAGUCCAGGGCUCAACCCUGGAAUGCCGGUGGAUACUGUCGGGCUAGAGUCCGGAAGGGGCGAGUGGAAUUCCUGGUGUAGCGGUGAAGUGCGCAGAUAUCAGGAGGAACACCGGUGGCGAAGGCGGUUCUCUGGGAAUGACCUGACGCUGAGGAGCGAAAGUGUGGGGAGCGAACAGG
rnacentral:rRNA from 1 species